rnacentral:lncRNA from 1 species
CUCUAGGCCCGCUUGUAAAGAUGCAGAGGCCAGAGAGUGGAAGGUACUCAGGGGGAAGACCUUCCUCUUUCAAGUGU